rnacentral:rRNA from 1 species
GUCCACGCCGUAAACGAUGGAUACUAGCUGUUGGGUGCAAACUCAGUGGCUAAGCGAAAGUGAUAAGUAUCCCACCUGGGGAGUACGUUCGCAAGAAUGAAACUCAAAGGAAUUGACGGGGGCCCGCACAAGCGGUGGAGCAUGUGGUUUAAUUCGAUGAUACGCGAGGAACCUUACCAAGGCUUAAAUGUAGAUUGACAGGACUGGAAACAGUUUUUUCUUCGGACAAUUUACAAGGUGCUGCAUGGUUGUCGU